UAAAAUCUUGGGCUAAUAGUGAAUACUCUUUCUUCUUCUGCUCGUUUCGUUUCUACUUGUCCAUCUUUACUCAUAAAAGAAAAUUUCCCUUUAAAAGAACAACUUUUUCUGUUCAUAUCAACAUCUCAGUAAUCCCUAAACAGUGGAUAAACGUACUAACGUAGCCCUCAUCCACUUUUAAGAGAUGUGAAAAGUGAGGAAAUUGCUAAACAAUUAUUGGGAGUGAAGAACAAAGGCAAAAAUUUAUGGACGAACAGAAGAAGAUAUGAGUUAUUUAAGUUCCAAAUAUAAACUAGUUAAGGAAGUUGUGCCUGUUGUGGCGAGGGGUUAAAAGGCCAGUAGCUUCAAAUCGAGAGUAUGCUUAUAACGCCGUGA
rnacentral:lncRNA from 1 species